AUCCAUCCAGUCAAUCGUGCAACUCCCAGGCCCCACUCGAUCUUACGCUGUUGUUUGUUUUUUACCGCCUCGCUUUGUGCUGCAAAGUUCGUAUGUUCACAGAAGAAAGGCAGCUUAAAAAUGGUAUUUAAUGAGAAAAUAAGCGGAUAAGCGGAGUUUUUGAGGAAACAUUUGUCUGAAGUACGAGCCGAUGGAAAUUCCCGCCCGUGGCAGCAGCAGCAGCAGCAGCUGAAAAGAAGACUAAGAGGAGAGGCUCUACACUUUUUCACCAUUCUAUAUUCACUCACGUCUAUAUCUAUGUAAGGAGAUCCUGAGAGGAAAAGGCCUUGGAUUGAUGUCUGUUUGCAGCUAUAAAAAUCAUUCACUUGUGUUGACGAGUUCCUUGCUAGCAGAAAGAUCACGGUUUACAACAAAAAGCGAACACAACCACUAGGCGACAAACAUAAAGCGACAAAAAAAACACUGCCAAGGUGGGUUUUUGACGAUGAUUUGCAUUUUGAGUAUGACAUUUUUUUCAUUUAUUGUUGUGCCAAAACCAAUCGCUCAAACUAAAACACCGUAACAGCUUUAGUAUGACGUCAAGAUGACAUAUCAAUGUCAUAUAUCCUUGUUUUGAUUGGCUAAAAUACCAUCUACUUGAAUUCCGAUUGGUUUAUAAUUUUGGCACUUGAAUGGCUUUUAUUCAACUGACAAUCGCCAUGUAAAUGUUAAAUUCGUUAAUACUUACUUUCAAGUUCUAGUAAUUCAGGCGUAUAUUCCUCACGGUUAAACCAACCAAGGACUACCUGAGGGUCAUGCUUGAUGCUAAAGGCUGGAAGACAUAAGAAUAGGGAAAUGUAGCCGGGCUUUCUUACUUUGGUACAGCAGUAUAAGUGUAAUAGGGUUUUUAGAGCAAGAUACUUUGUGUCAAUGAUACUGUAAAUCUGUAAAACAUUUUUUAUCAACCUGAAGAUAAUGAGGAAAGGGGAAAUGAUAGGAGAGUGCUCAAUCAAGUUGUUGCAAUACUGUUAAAGUUUUUAUCAAAAAUAUAGUCCCAGUUUCUUUUUUCUCUC